AAACCCACACACACAACACCUCUCGCUCGCUCGCUCUCUCUCUCUUAUCCCUAUAUAUUUUGAAUUAUCUUCUCUCUUAGCCCUCCUGCCCUUCCCUUCUCUUUACAAACCUUGCUAGGUUUGUUUAUGGAGGGCUUUGAAGCUCCUAAAAUACUUAAAUCUAAGUUUUGUGGUGGUCUAUAUGUGACCCUCUUUGUAUUCUUCCACAGCUUUCUUGAACUGCACCUAUUUGAAUAUUGUUAUUGAUGUCGCCGUGCAUGCCAUGGCUAUACAUAUGACAUUGUCUUUUUGUUGCGGUUCAAUAAAGCUGUGGGAAGAUACAAACAGGAUCAAAGAAAGUUAAUGUUUCUUCAUCGGGCCCUGCAUCAAUGAUCAGUGUAUAAGAUAUUCACAGAGUAUCUUGGACGCAUUGCUUCCUUCCAACAGUGUCCUUCCAUUUGUACUUGCAUCAAAAGGAGACCACACAAAGAUAUAUUUAUUUGGUAUAGAUAUACUCUUCACGAAUCAUUCUUUUUUACUUCAGAUUCCUGUCUCUGUUUAAUAUCUUUUGAUGACAAGUAAGAUUUUGGAUUUUUUUAGAUGAUUUUACAGCACAAUAGUAGUGUUUUUAGAUUCACUAGGUAAAAAUGUUGUACUGAUAAUACUAUUAGUUAAUUUACAAGGCCAUAUGCUUUGAUCGCCCACUAUAAUGUGUUUGUACCGUGUCGGUUGAUGCAGUAAUAGUCAAGUGCAGUCUUUUUUUUCUUGUAUACAUCCGAUCUGAAGAUUCCUUUUCAUGACGAGGGUGAUGUAGUCUGUUGUUGAUUUGCUUCGCUGUUUUUUGUUCAAAUAUAAAUUAAGCUUCGCUGUCUAUAAA